AGCUUUAUAGUCAAAAAUGAUAUAAAAUUGCAAAUUUUAAGGAAUAUUAUAUAAAUAUUAAGGCUU
rnacentral:tRNA from 1 species